GCUAUUUCUUCGGACUUCUUACAAGGUGCUGCAUGGUUGUCGUCAGCUCGUGCCGUGAGGUGUCAGGUUAAGUCCUAUAACGAGCGCAACCCUUGUCGUUAGUUGCCAGCAUGUAAAGAUGGGGACUCUAACGAGACUGCCGGUGUAAACCGCGAGGAAGGUGGGGAUGACGUCAAAUCAUCACGGCCCUUACGUCCUGGGCUACACACGUGCUACAAUGGUAUGGACAAUGAGCAGCCACUAUGCGAAUAGGAGCGAAUCUACAAACCAUAUCACAGUUCGGAUCGGAGUCUGCAACUCGACUCCGUGAAGCUGGAAUAAUCACUAGUGAAUUCGCGGCCGCCUGCAGGUCGACCAUAUGGGAGAGCUCCC
rnacentral:rRNA from 1 species